GAUGAACGCUAGCGGGAGGCCUAACACAUGCAAGCCGAGCGGUAGAGUUUCUUCGGAAACUUGAGAGCGGCGCACGGGUGCGUAACACGUGUGCAACCUACCUUUAUCUGGGGGAUAGCCUUUCGAAAGGAAGAUUAAUACCCCAUAAUAUAAUGAUUGGCAUCAAUUAUUAUUGAAAACUCCGGUGGAUAGAGAUGGGCACGCGCAAGAUUAGAUAGUUGGUGAGGUAACGGCUCACCAAGUCAAUGAUCUUUAGGGGUCCUGAGAGGGAGAUCCCCCACACUGGUACUGAGACACGGACCAGACUCCUACGGGAGGCAGCAGUGAGGAAUAUUGGACAAUGGGUGAGAGCCUGAUCCAGCCAUCCCGCGUGAAGUAUGACGGCCCUAUGGAUUGUAAACUUCUUUUGUACAGGGAUAAACCUACCCUCGUGAGGGUAGCUGAAGGUACUGUACGAAUAAGCACCGGCUAACUCCGUG
rnacentral:rRNA from 1 species